CAGCAGCCGCGGUAAUACGAAGGGGGCUAGCGUUGUUCGGAAUUACUGGGCGUAAAGCGCACGUAGGCGGAUAUUUAAGUCAGGGGUGAAAUCCCAGAGCUCAACUCUGGAACUGCCUUUGAUACUGGGUAUCUUGAGUAUGGAAGAGGUGAGUGGAAUUCCGAGUGUAGAGGUGAAAUUCGUAGAUAUUCGGAGGAACACCAGUGGCGAAGGCGGCUCACUGGUCCAUUACUGACGCUGAGGUGCGAAAGCGUGGGGAGCAAACAGGAUUAGAUACCCCGGUAGUCCCUGUCUCUUAUAC
rnacentral:rRNA from 1 species